ACUCCUACGGGAGGCAGCAGUGGGGAAUAUUGCGCAAUGGGCGAAAGCCUGACGCAGCAACGCCGCGUGCGGGAUGAAGGCCUUCGGGUUGUAAACCGCUUUCAGCAGGGACGAAAAUGACGGUACCUGCAGAAGAAGCACCGGCUAACUCCGUGCCAGCAGCCGCGGUAAUACGGAGGGUGCGAGCGUUAAUCGGAAUUACUGGGCGUAAAGCGCAUGCAGGUGGUUUGUUAAGUCAGAUGUGAAAGCCCGGGGCUCAACCUCGGAAUAGCAUUUGAAACUGGCAGACUAGAGUACUGUAGAGGGGGUAGAAUUUCAGGUGUAGCGGUGAAAUGCGUAGAGAUCUGAAGGAAUACCGGUGGCGAAGGCGGCCCCUGGACAGAUACUGACACUCCAGAUGCGAAAGCGUGGGGAGCAAACAGGAUUAGAUACCCUGGUAGGCU
rnacentral:rRNA from 1 species